GACGAACGCUGGCGGCGUGCCUAAUACAUGCAAGUCGAACGCAGUGGGGAUGGUUGAGUAACACGUGGGUAACCUCCCAUCAGAGGGGAUAACACUUGGAAAAAGGUGCUAAACCGAUACUGAUGGAUGGACCCGCGGUGCAUUAGCUAGCGGGUGAGGUAACGGCUCACCAAGGACACGAUGCAUAGCCGACCUGGGAGGGUGACCGGCCACACUGGGACGGAGACACGGCCCAGACUCCUACGGGAGGCAGCAGUAGGGAAUCUUGGGCAAUGGACGAAAGUCUGACGCAGCAAGGCCGCGUGAGUGAAGAAGGUUUUCGGAUCGUAAAGCACUGUUGUCGGGGAAGCGUUAUCUACCGAGAAAGCCACGGCUAACUACGUGCCAGCAGCCGCGGUAAUAC
rnacentral:rRNA from 1 species